GAUGAACGCUGGCGGCGUGCCUAAUACAUGCAAGUCGAGCGAACAGAUGAGGAGCUUGCUCCUCUGACGUUAGCGGCGGACCGGUGAGUAACACGUGGAUAACCUACCUAUAAGACUGGGAUAACUUCGGGAAACCGGAGCUAAUACCGGAUAAUAUAUUGAACCGCAUGGUUCAAUAGUGAAAGACGGUUUUGCUGUCACUUAUAGAUGGAUCCGCGCCGCAUUAGCUAGUUGGUAAGGUAACGGCUUACCAAGGCGACGAUGCGUAGCCGACCUGAGAGGGUGAUCGGCCACACUGGAACUGAGACACGGUCCAGACUCCUACGGGAGGCAGCAGUAGGGAAUCUUCCGCAAUGGGCGAAAGCUUGACGGAGCAACGCCGCGUGAGUGAUGAAGGUCUUCGGAUCGUAAAACUCUGUUAUUAGGGAAGAACAAAUGUGUAAGUAACUAUGCACGUCUUGACGGUACCUAAUCAGAAAGCCACGACUAACUACGUG
rnacentral:rRNA from 1 species